rfam:Felis catus isolate Cinnamon breed Abyssinian chromosome A1, whole genome shotgun sequence.
GCCUGGGUAGCUCAGUCGGUUAAGCGUCCGACUUCAGCUCAGGUCAUGAUCUCAUGGUUCAUGGGUUCGAGCCCCGUGUCGGGCC